rnacentral:lncRNA from 1 species
GAUCUUUUAGUUUUCUUCUCGGCUUUCUUUUAGGAAGUUCCAGUUGUGGAGUAAGUUCGUCAUCUUGAGACUUCGCUCGUGAUCUAGUGACAACAAGCGAACUGUUCUUAUUAUCGGAAUUUAAUUCUGGAGCUUCGAUAUGCUCGACUUCCAAAAUAUUAUCGUUUCUUGUUUCUUCAUCUGAAAUACUUCGUGAAGUAAUACAUUCAACUGGAAUCACUCGCUUGAGUUCGGGAUAUGAGGUAGAAGCUAGGGCAGCUAAAGCGUCUGCCG